GAUGAAGAACGUAGCGAAAUGCGAUACGUAAUGUGAAUUGCAGAAUUCAGUGAAUCAUCGAGUCUUUGAACGCACAUUGCGCCCCCUGGUAUUCCGGGGGGCAUGCCUGUCCGAGCGUCAUUGCUGCCCUCAAGCACGGCUUGUGUGUUGGGCCUCCGUCCUCCUCCCGGGGGACGGGCCCGAAAGGCAGCGGCGGCACCGCGUCCGGUCCUCGAGCGUAUGGGGCUUCGUCACCCGCUCUUGUAGGCCCGGCCGGCGCUUGCCGACACAUCAAUCUUUUUUCCAGGUUGACCUCGGAUCAGGUAGGGAUACCCGCUGAACUUAAGCAUAUCAAUGAGCGGAGGA
rnacentral:misc_RNA from 1 species